AUGGCUAGGGUGGAUGAACCUGGUAGAGGGAAAAGAGCGAACCCUCAUCGUUCUAAGCAUUCUGAGACUGAGCAGCGAAGAAGAAGCAAAAUUAACGAAAGAUUUCAGGUUAUUGAAUAUAUUCAGUUCCUACAGGAAAAGUUACAGAUUUAUGAACAGUCUUAUGAAGGGUGGAAUCAGGAGCCAAGUAAAUUAGUUCCAUGGAGAAAUCAUCACGGACCUGCCGAAAAUACUAUAGAUCCUUCUCGAGCAAUUCCAAAUGGGUCUGAUCAUGAAACACGAACAAG